AAAAGCAUCAGAAAACAGAUUGACAGUUGAAGGACUAAAUGAAUGACAAAAGCGAGCUGGGGCACUAGGUUAAGGAUUACAAGAAAGAUAACUGUCAAUAGAACAGGCAUGUGGUCAGAGAAGGUAGCAUCACAUAGCUCAAUACUGCAAACAGGAAACUCAUACGACAAAAACAGAUCUAAUGUAUGCCCUAUCUAUUUAUCUAACUCUGGUGGUUCAGUGAGAAGGUGCGCUCUGUAUGUUUGGGGUGGAGUCUCUUUUUGCCCAAAGGUGAAAAGACAUUCUGAAGCUUCAUUACUCAGAUUUCCUACUGCAAUGGUUCGGACCACAUCACCAGGAUUUUACCUCUCAUGGAACCAAACUUCAUCUGCACCCCUUUUGUCUGUAACACAAUGGAUCAGUUAUACGCUAUAUUGCAUCUGUACUAUUAUUGUGAUGGUGUUUUUGUUUCAUUGCUUUCGUGGAUUCCGCAAGAGAUGCAGGCGAGACUGUAAAACAGGUACGAUAUUAUUAUAAUAAUUACAAUGAUUAACUUCCUUUUUAACACAGAAAAUAGUAACUGCUAUUUUGAACAGGAGAAGUCACACUGGAGGUGGGCAACACUUCUCAUCCAAACACCGGAUCAGAAAACAUAAAGGCAAGUACUGUAGAGUAUUAGAAAAGAAAGAGAGCUUUAUCUUCAAAGAUACUCAUAUGAGUAAGAUUCUGUAGAAAUGAGCGGUUCUCUUGUGUUUAGGAUGAGCAAUACUCAUUGUCAGCAGUCCAAGAAAACCCCAGUGUCAGGAUGAGCUCUGUCUACCAGAGCCUGAUCCCCUCUGCUACUGAGAGACAGUCAGUCUAUGAGAGUCUUGAUCAAGAGAGGUCUCUAGACAUUUAUGAGAAUUUUGAGUGAUGGUAUAAUGCACAGACUGGUAAACUUAAUAUAAAGUGUAUUUACCUACUAUAUACUUACAUAUAAUCAUUUAUUACAAUGCACUUAUUCUGCACAUACAUGUUUUUACAUUGUACUUAUUUAAAAAUACUCUCUAUGUAAUUUAUGUAGUUUCAUGCAUAAUUAGACUGCUGACCCUUUCCUAAAACUUAACCCACCCUUGAACCUAACCUGUCCCUAACCUCAACCUUGUGCCAUCUCAAAGUGAUUUGCCAAAUGUGGUUUCAUUAAUAAAUAUCAAAAUAUACUGCCAUAUAAAAUCCAAUAAUGUGCCUUCUUGAUUGUGUUUAAAGUGAUUUUAGAGAGUAUACUUGUCCUUUUCAGGAAAUGCCUUUUGGACUCACAGCUGCAGCUAUACUUUGCUAUUUAAAAUACCAAUAUAUAUAGGUAGAAAAAAAAAAGUUGAUACAUUGGAAAUAAAACAUGGCUAGGAUCACUCACUAUUGUUUGGCAAUCCCUCCUCC